AUUGAACGCUGGCGGCAGGCCUAACACAUGCAAGUCGAGCGGACCGGCGGUCUGGUGUGUACUGCCUAGGCAUCUGCCUGGUAGUGGGGGCUAACGUCCGGAAACGGGCGCUAAUACCGCAUACUAUCAGAUGAGCCUAGGGCGGAUUAGCUAGUUGGUGGGGUAAUGGCCUACUAAGGCGACGAUCCCUAGCUGGUCUGAGAGGAUGAUCAGCAACACUGGGACUGAGACACGGCCAAGACUCCUACGGGAGGCAGAAGUGGGGAAUAUUGCACAAUGGGCGCAAGCCUGAUGCAGCCAUGCCGCGUGUAUGAAGAAGGCCUUCGGGUUGUAAAGUACUUUCAGUCGGGAGGCGUUACCGACAGAAGAAGCACCGGCUAACUCCGUGCCAGCAGCCGCGGUAAUAC
rnacentral:rRNA from 1 species